rnacentral:lncRNA from 1 species
UGAAGCAGGACUAAUCACCAAUCCCACCAUGGGCAGGACAGCAGAGAUCGUCACUAUGCUAACUGCCAGGAAUAGGAAUCCACACACUUCCGCCCACUGCAUCCUGGCCUGAAGUGCUACCAGUGUCUGUUGGAGACACGCUCACAUGCAACAAGUAAUGUGAAGUGGCUUUAGUAUAAUACAGACAGGCAGCAAGGGACAAAAGAAGCCUAGGAUCCAUUGUGAGGCAGUCCUCAAGGCUCAAGACAGCUGUCUGGGAAGGCACUAUUCUGAGUGUUGGAAGAUAUAGCAGUGGACAAAACUGAUAAAACAUCUCUGCCUUCAUGAAGACUAAUGAGGAGACAUGUGCCCAGUGACAAAGUUUAGAGUCAAGAACAGGGAUGUCUGGCCUCACUUUGGAUAAUCUGGACCUUUUCUGCUGCAAGCAUACCACUAGAUAGAAAAGAGGACCUGUGAAACAUCUUCUCCACAUUUCCCUUCCCUAGUGGGAAGCUUAUUGUUUCAGAGUCAAGAACUUGGUUCCAGGCUACAGUCCCAUGGCUACCAUUCUCUAACUGUUACUUUGCACUUCUAAGAUCAUGAAAGGUGAGCCCAUGAAAUUAAACUUUUGUUAAAAAGUGGAAGAACUUCAGAAUUGGAAGACCCCCGUCCAUGCAGUAAUCUCUUCAACAGCAUAUUUGGCAGAUGAUCAUCCAGGUCCAGUAUGGAUAUCACUACUGGCAGAGUUCACAAAAAUCAGACCAUCCUUUAUUGGCAACUGGGAUCUGGAUAAGUUCUUUCCCAGUUUCAACCUCCGUGGAACUGUGUUGUGUCCUCUUCAACUUUAUUUGAGGAAUUUUUACUGAACUGGAUCCAGGAUCAGAUUGUGUCUGAUAACUAACUAGAUUGGUUCCAGUUAGAGACCUCGGGUACGUACCUUUUGAAAUGAGUUCCUCCAAAUCUAAGAAGCCUAGGACUCCAUUUUUUGGGACAAUAGCUAAUGUUUUAUACAAAAAUUAUGAGCUCUGAACCUGUGCAUUUUUGGAAAAAACUGGUUAAUUUUACUAAGAACAACUUAGAAUUACAGUCAUCACAAUGUGGAAGUUUUAACCUAGUUAAAAAUAUUCACUUAUGAGGUGCAUUAGGAAAGAAAGGAUCCAAAAUGCCAAAAAAGAAAGGUGAUACAUUCUUUAAUUGGUGCAUAGAAGUAUCUAAACAUUUAAAUUAAAUCAAAGUUUGCCUCUUUAAAAGUUUCCUUA